UACGUAGGUGGCAAGCUUUGUCCGGAUUUACUGGGCGUAAAGGGCGUGCAGGCGGUCUUCUAAGUCUAGGGUGAAAGCUCCCGGCUCAACUGGGAGAGGUCCUUGGAUACUGGCGGACUUGAGGGAGGUAGAGGAGAGUGGAAUUCCCGGUGUAGUGGUGAUAUGCGUAGAUAUCGGGAGGAACACCAGUGGCGAAGGCGGCUCUCUGGGCCUUUCCUGACGCUGAGACGCGAAAGCGUGGGGAGCGAACAGG
rnacentral:rRNA from 1 species